rnacentral:rRNA from 1 species
UGGGGAAUAUUGCACAAUGGGCGAAAGCCUGAUGCAGCAACGCCGCGUGCGGGAUGACGGCCUUCGGGUUGUAAACCGCUUUCAGCAGGGACGAAGGUUUUCUGACGGUACCUGCAGAAGAAGCACCGGCUAACUACGUGCCAGCAGCCGCGGUGAUACGUAGGGUGCGAGCGUUGUCCGGAAUUAUUGGGCGUAAAGAGCUUGUAGGCGGUCCGUUGCGUCGGAAGUGAAAACUCAGGGCUUAACCCUGAGCCUGCUUUCGGUACGGGCGGACUUGAGGGAUGUAGGGGAGAACGGAAUUCCUGGUGGAGCGGUGGAAUGCGCAGAUAUCAGGAGGAACACCAGUGGCGAAGGCGGUUCUCUGGACAUUUCCUGACGCUGAGAAGCGAAAGCGUGGGGAGCAAAUCAGGCUUAGAUACCCUGGUAGUCCACGCCGUAAACGGUGGGCACUAGGUGUGGGACCCAUUCCACGGGUUCCGUGCCGUAGCUAACGCAUUAAGUGGCCCCCGCCU